ACAAAUCCGUGGGGCUUGUCGUGCAGUUUUGUGCUGUGCGUGCAGGUCACAUAAAGUCGGGGGGUGAGACUGGGCGACUUGGGCGACUUGGUCGACUGGUUUUUCCCUUCGAAUAACGACAACAUAUAUAUAUGUGUAGUUGACUAAUUUGAUGGCCAAUAUUGUA
rnacentral:misc_RNA from 1 species